UCCCUGGUGGUUUAGUGGUUAGGAUUCAGUGCUUUCAUCACAGUGGCCCAGGUUCAAUCCCUGGUCUGGGAA
rnacentral:tRNA from 1 species